UACGUAGGGUGCAGGCGUUAAUCGGAAUUACUGGGCGUAAAGCGUGCGCAGGCGGCUCCUUAAGUCAGAUGUGAAAUCCCCGGGCUUAACCUGGGAACUGCGUUUGAAACUGGGGAGCUGGAGUGUAGAAGAGGGGGGUGGAAUUCCAGGUGUAGCAGUGAAAUGCGUAGAGAUCUGGAGGAACACCGAUGGCGAAGGCAGCCCCCUGGGACGGUACUGACGCUGAGGUGCGAAAGCGUGGGGAGCGAACAGG
rnacentral:rRNA from 1 species